UCCUUAGUUGAGUGUCUUCCAAUUUCAGCCGAGAAAAUGCAUAUUCCUAAUGUUUUUAGAGCCAAUGUAACAUCGUAGAAAACACGAGGUCUUCCCUUCCCACAUAAUUCAACAGGGUUAGCAACCAAGAGUUCAGUAUCUGGGCCACGGUUGGCAAUAAUCACUCGAAAUGGAUGAAGCAUUUCUGCCUUUAAACGAGAACACAAAGUGAGCUGAAGCUUAGGAUCUAUUAUCUUCCUCCCAUUGGUUUGCUGAAUGAAUAAGUCCACAUUCCGGUACCCUUUUACAUUCGAAGAGAAUCUACCAUAAGCAAUCUGGAUGUUGCAGUCUUUUGAGGUCCUCAAUAUAUCGUAAAAUAGGCCUUUCUGAUCAAUACAUUGAAU
rnacentral:misc_RNA from 1 species